rnacentral:rRNA from 1 species
UACAGAGGUGGCAAGCGUUGUUCGGAAUCACUGGGCUUAAAGCGCGUGUAGGCGGCUCGGAAAGUGUCGUGUGAAAUCCCAGGGCUCAACCCUGGAACUGCGCGGCAAACUCCCGAGCUUGAGGCUGGUAGAGGUGCCUGGAACUCUCGGUGGAGCGGUGAAAUGCGUAGAUAUCGAGAGGAACGCCAGAGGCGAAAGCGGGGCACUGGGCCGGUUCUGACGCUGAGACGCGAAAGCGUGGGGAGCAAACAGG